CUAUAUUUAUCUAUCUAUCUAUAUCUAUACCUAUAUACCUAUACUAAUUUGUCACUUCCUAGAAAUUCCUACGUUAAUUAGAAAUUAAGAGCCGUUUAUUUGGUGGGACCUAAUUAUAACGGUGUAGAUCUGUUCUUGCUAUUUUGUUCUUUUGUUUAUCUGAUGGGACCGAAUUAUAAAGGUGUAGAUCUGUUCUUGCUAUUUAUAUUUCUUUCUGGCUCAAUGUCUCAUGCCUCUUUUGAAAGCUAGAGCAAAACUCCAAAAGAAAAAACACACGUGCACAUACAGAAUAAUCAACUGCCAAAAAAACAAUCCAUCAACUCUCUCUCUUUAAUGGCUCCGCUAAUCUCUCAUGCUUCUGUUUUUUUUUUCUUUCCUGAUCAAUCUAUCAUGCCUCUUUUCUAAAGCCAGAGCAAAACUCCAAAAAAUAUUUUGUUUUUCUUUGUGGCUCAAUCUCUCACGCAUAUGCCUUCCCUUCAUUGUAGCGGCCUCAGCUCAGCGUUGUCGAGCAGGACGAGAUCUUCAUCUCUUCCCUCCUGCAGGUGUGCUACCCAUCGUCCACACGCACGGGCCUCCUCCGUCCACCUCCUUUCUCAGGGCUUCCACAUGCCACAGUAGUACAAUCAGUUGGCAGAAACGCUGAGCUGGACGAUGGUGAUGAUUGCUCUAACUAUGUCGGAUCUUCUUCUGUCUUCCCAGCUACCCUUUCUCAUGUUUUGUAGCAAUGUGCUGUACUUUGCAAAUUCCGCAAGGCAGUAGGGAGGGGACAAAGUUGACCUGAGGCAGCUUCUAACGGAUUGAGGCUUUUGUUGUUUCUAUGCUAGCAAUUCAGGUGGAAGGAUAAUAUAAUGUACACCAUCAUCUUUGUAAAUAAAACCCCUUUGUAAACAAAGGGAAAUAUAUAACAAUUCCAAGUUCCAUUACGGCCAACACAUUGACUACCAAGUACCUAGAACCAUCUUCUAUGGGAAGUUGGUCCUGCUCCAGCCAGUUUAAUCUGCGGAUGUGUAUGAAGUGGAAUCUAUGGUGGUCAUGCUCCAGCCCCUUUAAUCUCAGGAAGAGGUGUCGACCGGUCGGGGUACUGGCAAGUGAGUGAAGGUCCCAACAGGUGUGUGCAACAUGAUCAAUGGGCUUACAAGUUCAUAUAUGUAAAUAUUAAUUGGAUGUCCCCAGGGGAAAACUUGAAAGCGUUGUGUUGCAGUAUGGCGGUGUGCCCACAUCGCCAAAAGUGCCGGUUAUUUCUCCUUUUUACACAAUCUAGUAUACGUGCAUGCCGAUAGUUCAGAACGUUCUGCAGCGUCUUAAAUUAUAAUAUUGUUUUUUGUUGCCCAAAUACUACUGCAAUGCAGACAUUAGUGGUGCUGUAGCCUGGACAAAUAAAAUGAGUAGUUGAAAAAUGUAUUAUCAUUUCGAGUGGCAAAAGUGUAGCUUAGAUGAUACUAAUUUUGCCUUCGGCAUGGUCAUAUUUUUUAGGAUAUGGACUUUUGAUGUCCAAUAACAACACAGAUUUUUCAUCUA